UAAAUAAAAGGAAAAAUUGAAUUUCAGUAUCAAUUGCACAAUUUGCAUUGCUUGAUCGUCUCUGAACUUUCGACAAGCUCGAUUUGAUGGCAUUCUAGUUCAACAAUUAUAAGCUUGUAUUGCAGAGGUAAAACCUUCACCACUUGCUGCUUUGCUGAUUCUGGAGAAACUUUUUGUUAAAAGUUUGAUUCAGAAUCGAAUUCACCCUCCAAAUCCCGAGAACCAUGGAUUAUGUACAGAAAGCAGGUGCCCUGCACAUCUUUUGCAAUCACUGGUUGCUGGGCAAGUAGAAUUGCAAUUGACAUAAUAGUUUGGAGCAGAAUUCUACAAAACUGAUGAUCUCAAGUUCUCAAGAAUUGAUCAAAUGCCCCCUGCUUCCCACCUCGGCUCUCUUAAUGUCAUAUUGAGCCAAAUGAAAUGUUACAUUCUGAAGCAUGUUGUAUGUGAAAGUUAAAAAUGCUUACCUCCAGCUAAUGGUUUUGAAGACUUUGAGCUAUGAGAAGCAGCCAUUCGCUCCUUCCUUAAACGGAGAUCAUCCAACAGCUUCUGUGCAAAAUCUGAUCUUUUUGCCAUGUUUUCCACUCUGUAAGAGUGAAGUUCCUAUAUCAAAACACUUCUUCAGCUAUAAAUCUUUUACAUUGUGUUUGGUCUAUCUCUUUUGCAGAAAUAAAAAGAUGAGGAUGUCUCUGUGUUCCUCUAUGGUUGGAAGGGUUCUUUCAGAGUUGGGUGAGGUCACCUUGGCAAACCCGCGAAAACCGAGAAGACACUUCGUGACGUCAAUUCGACCAAUUCACCAAGAUCGAUCUAACUCGAGAAGACACUUCGUAACGUCAGUCUGACCAUCUGAUAGGUCACCAAGAUUCGACCAUCUUAUACGUUACCAAGAUCGAGACCUAACUAGUCUUGAACGUAAUCAAAUAGUUCUCAUUAAUUAAUAUAUAUUACGUUUCAAAAUCCUUUUUGUCCUAGAUUUUUUUUUUGUAAUAUUGUUGAGAAAUAUGUUUCAUAUUGGAAUCGAAU